UGGUGGAGUGAUUUGUCUGGUUAAGUCCGAUAACGAACGAGACCUCAGUUUAUUAAAUAGUGGUGCGUACAGGGUGAUUUUCGGGUGUGCUGGGCUCCGGUUCGGUGCGUUCGGGGUUGCCGUUUGGUUGUGAGCAAUUAAUACUUCUUAGAGAGACAGUUAACGAGAAAGAUAGUUAAAGGAAGAGUGAGGCAAAAACA
rnacentral:rRNA from 1 species